rnacentral:lncRNA from 1 species
AAUUAUACUAAAUCAACAGUCACUUUAUCAAAAACUGACACAUUCACCAUCUGACACCUGUCUUAAGUCUCCAAUUUUACUCUUUUACUUUCUUUUUCUUUUUCUUUUCACACCAAUUUAGGAAAAAAAAAAACUGUUCUUUAUAAAAAAAAAAAUUGUUCUUCCCUCCCAUAUCACCCACGAUCCCUACAAUCUCCAAGCAAACAAAAUUUUUAAAUCUCAAAACUGUUCACCCACGUCUCCAUACCAAUAUUCAUCUUUACUUUCACAAGAUACUAGAGAUACAUUCAAAAAUAGUUUCUUCCCCUUGAAAUCAUAAAAGGAGCCAAUGCAAUUAUGGCUGUUCUAUACCAAAUAUGUCAUUAACUAUUGUUAUUAUUUUUUCACCCAAAUUGUUUUUUAAUAAUUAAGAAUUUCAUGUUAUUUAAUAUUUAUACAUUGAAACUCUCAUAAUUGAAAUUGUAAGGAUUUCAAACCCAAAAAAAAUUUGUUAGUUUUCAUAUUGAUUUUAAAUUAGAAAAAUCAACAUUGGUUUGUUCAGAUUGAAUUUAACAUAUCAUUCUGAGCUCAUGAUGGUAAUCCAAAUUUGAAAUAGGGAA